rnacentral:tRNA from 1 species
CAGAGGGUAGUUUAUAUUAGAAUAUUAAUUUUGGGGAUUAAUGGUAAGACGUGUCUUUCCUCUGA